CCGACGCGCUGAGGGCCGGGUCAGGCCGCAUUUGGCUCGCGGGCCGGGGGUUGAGCCGAGCGCUCUGCGGGGGGGCGGUUCCCCCACGUGACGGGAGGGCGGCUCAGACCGAGCGGUGCGAGCGCAGGGGAGGAAAUUGAGCUGACAUGGAGCCAGCAGCCCCUCUGUUACCCCUCUGGGCCGAAACCCUGUUUGUGCUGUGCGUCAAAUAGGCCCCUGCCACCCAGCAACCACACCUUACUCUUUCUGCAAAUGAAAACAGACUCUCACCGGUUUUCAGCAGCACCUUCACGAUGAAAACAGAGUUGAUGGAUUGAUGCUUUUUUCCCCUCACAUUCAAAAAAAUAACUUGAAUUUAAA